rnacentral:rRNA from 1 species
GUUGGUAAGGUAACGGCUUACCAAGACUUCGAUAGAUAGGGGUCCUGAGAGGGAGAUCCCCCACACUGGUACUGAGACACGGACCAGACUCCUACGGGAGGCAGCAGUGAGGAAUAUUGGACAAUGGAGGCAACUCUGAUCCAGCCAUGCCGCGUGUAGGAAGACUGCCCUAUGGGUUGUAAACUACUUUUAUAUGGGAAGAAUAAGAUCUACGUGUAGAUNGAUGACGGUACCAUAAGAAUAAGCACCGGCUAACUCCGUGCCAGCAGCCGCGGUAAUACGGAGGGUGCAAGCGUUAUCCGGAAUCAUUGGGUUUAAAGGGUCCGUAGGCGGGCAUAUAAGUCAGUGGUGAAAGUCUGUGGCUNAACCAUAGAAUUGCCAUUGAUACUGUAUGUCUUGAAUUAUUGUGAAGUGGUUAGAAUAUGUAGUGUAGCGGUGAAAUGCUUAGAGAUUACAUAGAAUACCGAUUGCGAAGGCAGAUCACUAACAAUAUAUUGACGCUGAUGGACGAAAGCGUAGGUAGCGAACAGGAUUAGAUACCCUGGUAGUCUACGCCGUAAACGAUGGAUACUAGUUGUUUGGUUUUCGGACUGAGUGACUAAGCGAAAGUGAUAAGUAUCCCACCUGGGGAGUACGUUCGCAAGAAUGAAACUCAAAGGAAUUGACGGGGGCCCGCACAAGCGGUGGAGCAUGUGGUUUAAUUCGAUGAUACGCGAGGAACCUUACCAGGGCUUAAAUGUAGUCUGACAGCUUUAGAGAUAGAGUUUUCUUCGGACAGAUUACAAGGUGCUGCAUGGUUGUCGUCAGCUCGUGCCGUGAGGUGUCAGGUUAAGUCCUAUAACGAGCGCAACCCCUGUGGUUAGUUGCCAGCGAGUAAUGUCGGGAACUCUAGCCAGACUGCCGGUGCAAACCGUGAGGAAGGUGGGGAUGACGUCAAAUCAUCACGGCCCUUACGUCCUGGGCCACACACGUGCUACAAUGGUAGGGACAGAGAGCAGCCACUUAGCGAUAAGGAGCGAAUCUAUAAACCCUAUCUCAGUUCGGAUUGGAGUCUGCAACUCGACUCCAUGAAGCUGGAAUCGCUAGUAAUCGGAUAUCAGCCAUGAUCCGGUGAAUACGUUCCCGGGCCUUGUACACACCGCCCGUCAAGCCAUGGAAGCUGGGGGUACCUGAAGUCCGUCACCGUAAGGA